rnacentral:rRNA from 1 species
GCGAACGCUGGCGGCAGGCUUAACACAUGCAAGUCGAACGGGCACCUUCGGGUGUCAGUGGCAGACGGGUGAGUAACACGUGGGAACGUGCCCUUUGGUUCGGAACAACUCCGGGAAACUGGAGCUAAUACCGGAUAAGCCCUUCGGGGGAAGAUUAUCGCCAAAGGAUCGGCCCGCGUCUGAUUAGCUUGUUGGUGAGGUAAUGGCUCACCAAGGCGACGAUCAGUAGCUGGUCUGAGAGGAUGAUCAGCCACACUGGGACUGAGACACGGCCCAGACUCCUACGGGAGGCAGCAGUGGGGAAUCUUGCGCAAUGGGCGGAAGCCUGACGCAGCAACGCCGCGUGUGGGAAGACGGCCUUCGGGUUGU